GUUCCCAGGAAGCCCAAAAGGCCUGUCUCACUCCUACUGUGAUCCCCCUCAACAGCACAGAGUUUGUUUCCAGGCAGCUGGUGAACAGUGCUGAGACCUUUCCUCAGGCUAUAAGCCUCCCCACUGAGAAUGCAAGGAGGACUUCCAGGUUUCACGCCUCCCCAUCAGCAAAGGUUUUCUCCACAAGGACACGUGCAAGGCUAAGUCAGGAAUGGAUUCCUGGAACCAAGAGUGUCCACAGGGCUCUUGCUGCUGCUUCCUCUACCACUGUAUUUUAUAUAGUUCUGAAAGUACUCACUGCAGAGACAAAUGGAAAUGAGUCUACUAUAGGAAAAUAACUGGAAGCUUAAAAGUUUUCCUGAGUGAGCUGUGUAAAUGCGACUUGGAAAUGUGACUUCAGGAGAAAGAACCAGGUUCUGAGGUGCAUGUGCAGAACAUUCAGGACUGCUGCAUAGUAAAGGAACUACUGUAUGAGGAGCUCAAACAGCCCUCCGAAGAGAAACACAUGUCAAGGAACUGAAGCCUCCUGCCAAUAACCAGCAUUAAUUUGCCAGAAACAUGUGUAAGCUACUUGGAGGUGAAGCCUGCAGCAUCAGUCGAGCCUUUGCUAACAUCUUGCCUCAAACUCAUAAAAGAUUACCAGCUAAAAUUACCAAAACUACCAGCUAAGCUGUUCCCAAAUUCCUGCUGCAUGGAAAUUCUAUGCUGCCAACAAACAUUUGCUAUCAACUCCUAUUUCCAUGGUCUCUGAAGCAGAAAAAGUGAUUGUGGUAAAGUAUGCACUGGCUCUUAAGGCUUCCACAUGGAAAUGGCACAUGAUACUUCUCUUUAACAUUUAUUUGCCCAAGGUAAGUUAGUGACCAUACUUAAUUUAAAAUCACUGGUGAAGUGCAAUUCUACCAUGUUUCUGUAAGGAGAGGCAAAUUGGACGAUUCAUAAACAGACCUAAUAACCACUAUAAUAGAAAAGGUAGGCCAACAAAGAGCAGGAAGUUGGGGCUUAGGUUAAGCUUAAAGGUAAAGUGGGUGUUGUACAGAGACAGCCAGAAUGGUGGUGUGCAGGGAAAUAGGCAGUACGUUUUGCUCGAUGGGAGAGAUGAUUCAAACCAUUCUACUCUAGGAAGAUGGCUAUUAGUAAGACCUCAAAAUAGCUGGGACCCAAAAGAGUUUUGGCUUCUGAUUCUCACUAAGAAUAGUAAGCAAGAAGACAAUAUUAACCUGGUGGUAAAGGGAUUAUGAGGACUGAAAGCACAACUACAAAUGGCCUUUGUGUAUUAAUCAGUGUUAACUACAUUGGUAAUGAAUUACCUGUUGCACUUGGCUUUCAUUUUACAUUCCUUUGUUCUAUAAUAGAAAAUCAUGUUGUCUUGUCAUUGGCAGUAUGUCUUUUAGUCUCAUUGGAAUGGAUUGAGUAAUUAAUUACCCAGGGUUUUAACUGCAGGCCUGAGACCUCAUCUGGCCCCAACAUACUUUCCACUGGCUGUACUCUUCCUUUUUUAUAUAAUGUAUCAGAUACUAGGUGCUUUAUUUCAGUCAAUACAAUGAAGAUUUCUCUAUGAAUUAACAUUCCAAAGGAGGAGGAGGGAGACAAACAUGAUAUGUAAAUUGCUAGUAUUUAGUAGGUAAUAAGUAUAGCAAGGAGCAUCAGGAAUGCUGGGUAGUAGUGAGUAGAGUUGCAUUUUGAAAUUCUUUCUUUCUUUCUUUCAUAUAUAUCUAUAUAUUUUAAUGCACUUUAGGUUCUGGGGUACAUGUGCAGAACCUGCAGGAUUGUUGCAUAGGUACAUACAUGGCAAGGUGGUUUGCUGUGUUACACCGAACCGAGCAUAGAAAGUCAACACCAAGACAAAAGUAUGCCAAAUUGCAGGGUUUAUUGCCGGUGACCACGGAGGACUCACGUCUGUCCAACUCGUGGCAGAGAAAGAAGGGUGACAAGACCUUUAUAUACCCAUAAAACCACCUUGGGAGUGGGAGUGAGGGGCUUCAGACAUUCCGAGGGCUAGUGGAUUCUGCAAAUCACUUUCUGGGCGGAGAUGAGGGUGAGGGGCUUCCGGACAUUCCAAGGGCCAGGGGACUAUUUGACAUUCUGAUUAUUACUUAAGUGGUUCACAGAAGCUAAGAUUAGCAUUGGUUUACACAUUGUCUGGGUAGUGUGGGGAUCACAGUCCUUAAUUACUUAUUCACAUUUGGGUUACAGAGAGCAGUUUCAACAGAAAGCUGAGGUAUGUUUGAGGUGUGCAGUUUUACGGGCUUUUUACCAUGUCACAUUCCCCCCUUGUUUUAUUUACAGGAAUUAAAUCAUUGAUUCCUCUAACUGGUUAGUAUUGUUUGUUUGUUCUAAGCACUCAUAUUGAGAUCUUAAUAUUAUUAAUUUUAUGGAGUCUACCCUAGAUUUUAUGAACUUGAGCAGUUGGUUUAGGAGGCAGGGGCCGAACAUGAGACCCAGUAAGAGUAGGGCCAGAUGUCCUACCAGGCCGGUGAGGAGGGAAGUGAGCCAAGGGGACCAGGAAAACAUUUUUUAUGCUGGAUGGUAAAGAUGUUUUCCUUGUCCUACCCACUCAUAUAUACCCAGAGACCCUAGGUAUGCCCUGUUGUCCAUCUCCUAUCUGGAUACAGGACUGUUAUUUUGAGUGGGUUACAAGAACCAGUGUAGCAAGGGUUUGGGGGAGAGUCUCGGGUGAAAGAAAUAAAAGAGUCUUUGUUUGUAGCAUAUCCUGAUAUAGUGGAGAUAGUCUCACAGCCCCAGUGGGGCAGAAGAACUCCUCUAAGUUUCCACAAUUCCACCUCUUUCGUGGGGUGGACCCUGGGCAUAGAUAUAGCCCCAUAGUCUGCAGUUGUUUUUUGGCCUCUACGUUACCACACCCCAUUUCCUUUGCUUUCACCAUAUUUCCCCGCCCCCAUCUCUUUGUCGAUAUUUUUAUAUUUAGGCUUUUACUCAAGAGAGUGCAGAGGUCUAGGGAGAAGGUUAUGGGCUCUAUGGGGAUGUACUUUAUGGUUAAAUUGACAAGGGUGGUUCCAGCCCUGAGUACAGUACUAACAAAUUGUCCUGUUAAGCCUUCCGUGAUGACCCAUUGAUAAUAAGUGGGCAUUAAGGGGGGGGUUCCUUUCGGGGGGUGGGUACAGGAAUUAAGAUUAGGAUGACGACUGUGAACAGCAUGAAAGUCUUAGCUUUAGGUGGUCUGCUGAAGCUGAGGUCACUCUCCAUUGUGUGUCCAGGGGUGGGGGGCAGUCUUGACAUGUGAGUGCUGAAUCCAGGCAGUCAGUCUGUCCACCUUGAUGGCCAUGGGGGUGACCAGAAUCCUGUUGUAGGGUCCCUUCCAGUGAGGAGUCAGGCUGGAGGCGAUGAAUCUCUUUACCAGGACUUCGUCUCCCAGCUGAAAGAGGUGUACCGGCUGGUCAGUGAGGUCCCCUGGGGUAGGUUGAGCUCCUCUGAUGAGCGAGUGCACCUGGGACUGAACAGACUGGAGUGCCUCUAAGGACUUAAGGAGUGUUUGGUUAUGGACUUCAGCAUGCACGGUAUCUGCGGGUCUGGGGAGUAAGGGAGGGGGCCUACCAAACAUGAUUUCAAAAGGGGAGAAGACUUUUUGAUAGGGUGUGCAUCGGAUAUGGCGGAGGACAAAAGGAAGCAGGUUGACCCAGUUUUCACCGGUUUCCAGAAUGAAUUUUGUUAAAGUCUCCUUUAUGGUCCGGUUCAUCCUUUCAACCUGACCUGAACUCUGGGGGCGAUAGGCACAGUGUAGCUUCCAGGAUAUGCCCAGGGCCUUGGCCAGGCCCUGUGAAACCUGUGCUGUAAAGGCAGGACCAUUAUCUGAUCCCAGUGUCAGGGGCAAGGCGAACUGAGGAACCAGGUCCUGUAACAAUCUUUUUGUUACUACCAGUGUGGUUUCUGACCUAGUAGGAAAAGCCUCAACCUAUCUAGAAAAAGUGUCUACAAACACAAGGAGGUAUUUACAGCCGCACGCUGGUGGCUUUAUUUCAGUAAAAUCUACCUCCUAGUGUUCCCAUGGGCUAGUACCCCUAAGUCUUAUUCCUGCCUGACUAGUUUUACUGUCUUCUGGAUUUACCCUGUCGCUUACAUUACAAUGAAUAGUAGUUUCCCUAACAAUCUCAUGUAAAUGUGGAAUGUAGUAUCUGGCCCUCAACAGCUCAGUGAGUUUUGUUUGUCCUUAGUGGCCUGGUGUGUCCUUAACUAGAGUCCGUCCUAAAGCCUCGGGGAGCACAAUCCUUAUGUCCGGUAGAAUCCACCAUCCUGUGGAAUCUUGUCGUCCCCUCUGUUCUCUAGCAAAGUUUUCUUCCUCAGGCGAGUACAUUGGGGUAGGAGGCAGGUUUGGGGCUGGCUGAGUCAGAAGAAGAGUCAGAGGUUUUACUGGCCCCAAGGCUGCCUGUCUGGCUUGCAGGUCAGCUGCUGUAUUUCCCCUUGCCUCUGGUGAAUCUCCCUUCUUGUGUCCUUUGCAGUGUAUUAAUGCCACUGCCUUGGGCUUCCAUAUAGCUUUUAGCAGGGCUAGGAUUUCUUCUUUGUUUUUGAAGAUUUUUCCUUCUGAGGUAAGCAAUCCUCUUUCUUUAAAAUGGCCCUAUGUACAUGGGCUGUAGCAAAGGCAUAACGACUAUCAGUGUAGAUAUUGACAGUUUUUCCCUCUGCCCAGUCCAAGGCCUUUAUCAGAGCUAUGAGUUCUGCCUUCUGGGCUGAGGUCCUGUGUGGGAGAGCUUGGGCCCAGAUAACCCGCUCUAGAGUGACCACAGCUGCCCCGGCAUACCUGACUCUGUUGACCAUGAAACUGCUGCCAUCUGUGAACAGUACCUCUUCUGGGUUCUGCAGGGGGAUGUCGGUGAGAUCCGGUCACGCAGCAUGGAGGACAUCUGUAGUUUGUUGGCAGUCAUGUAUGGGCUCCUCUGGCUCGCCGUCAGGUAGCAAUUUGGCGGGGUUUAAAACUGUGGCCUUUAAAAACUUUAUGAGGGGCUGGUCCAAAAGUAGUGACUCCAUCGCAUGGGGAGCUACUAGGUUUAACUCCUGCCUCAAAGUUAGCUUGCCUGCCUCCUGGACUAAUAGGGCUGUGGCCACUACCGCUCUUAGGCAAGCCAGCCAUCUGGAGGCUACAGGAUCAAGUUUUUUUUUUUUUUUGAGAGGUAGGCGACUGGCUGGGACCAGGGUCCCAGAGUUUGGGUGAGCACCCUCUUAGUGACUCCCUGUUUUUCAUGCACAAACAACUGGAAGGGUUUAAAGAUGUCUGGCAAGGCCAAGGCUGGGGCUGCAGUCAGGGCAGUCUUGAGCUUGUCAAUAGCCCGUUGCUCUAUCUCUGUCCAUGUCAAGGGCUGAUUUCCUCCAGUGCAGGCAUACAGGGGCUAUCUCAGCAAAUCCCAAAAUCCAUAGCCUGUAGUACCCUACUGUCUCAAGGAAUUCUCGAACUUGGCAUUUCGUGGUGGGGGUGGGUAUUUGCAGCACUGCUUGGAUUCAGCUGGGUGCCAGUGCCCGGUUGCCCUUCUCUAUAACAUAGUCCAGGUAAGUAACUUUCAGCUGGCAGAGUUGGGCCUUUUUAGCUGAGACCCAGUACUCCAAAGUCUGUAGGGUCCUUAGUAAUGACUGGGUGGUCUCUUUACAGUCCUCCUGGGUUUUUGUGGCCAAGAGUAAGUCAUCCACAUAUUGGAGCAGGGUACAUUCUGGGAACUCAGCUCAGAAAGCAGCAAGGUCUUGGCUCAGCAUCUCAUUAAACAAAGUGGGGGAAUUUUUAAAACCUUGCUGCAGCCUCUCUGCUGGAUUUCUGGUCCCCGUGAGUUAACUCGGGUUUCCUGGAGUGUUGUUAUCACUGCGUUAGUAACUCCCUUAUCUUGCUUGGCCUCUAAGGUAUCCCUAUUGUUAAAAACUUUUUGGGCAAUCUAACAGCUGAGCUAAAUUUAUUUUCUGGAACCCCUUUAAUUUUUGAAAUUUUUCUUUUGAUGUCUGGGACAGACUGGGAAACGAAAGCCAGAUUGAUGGCCCGCUGAUUCUCCGGGGCCUCAGGGUCAACAGGAGUGUAGGUGUGAUAAGCAUCCUGUAGGCACUCAAGGAAAGCAGAUGGGGACGCCUGUGGACCCUGGGUCACGAUCCCUACCUUGGAGAGGUUGGUAAGUUUUUGGGCUGCCCCCGUAACCCCCUCUAACAAGUACCGGUGAAAAUUGUUCAAAGCCUGCAUGCCCACUGGGGUUUUUGGGUCCCAUUGGGGCCUGGUGGAAGGGAAAAUUUCAUUAAUUUGUUCCUGGCAUCUUUUGAUCCUCCCCCCGGUCCCAAGUAUUGCUUUAUGGGCUUCUUGUCUAAUUCUACUCCUCUCCUCUGUGGUGAACAAACUCAGUAAUAAUUGUUGGCAGUCAUUCCAAGUGGGGUGAUGAGUCUGCAGUACAGAUUUUAAGAGCCCUGUCAAAGCCUGGGGCUUCUCAGAGAACGGGGGAUGUUGAACUUUUUGACAGAACUUACUCUACUGUAAAGCCCUGCCACUGCCUUAAGAUCCCCAGCCUCCCAGCACGACCCCCUCCCGGGGAACUUUCCAUCUCACAAGGUUUCUAACCCUCCCCCACUCGCCAGGUUAGCAGUUCCCCAGCCCUCCCAGGAACUAUUAAACUCAGCAAUUCCAAAGCCCCUCCCCUCCUUCACAGCCCCUCACACUGGAGGCAUCUGCCGGCUUGCAGGCCGUAAAAAUUCCCUUUGCAAUGCCACAGGUGCUGCUUGUCAAUUUUGGGUGCAGUCUGGCAGAUAUUUCCUUGCUCUUAAUAAAGCUUGUGUCAUCACUUGGUGUUUUGGCCCUCUCUUUAAUUUCUAUCACCUUCCAGUUAUAUAAGUCCCUUGACAAGAAAGGGAUGUGAACAAAGAAUUGGCGACCCUGAUUGUCUCUCCUGUUGGGGGCACCUCUUGGAGAGGAAGGACCGCCAGUGGGUGUGGGGCCCCGCUGCGGGUGUGCAGGGGGAACAAGGUUUGAUUACUAGUACUGAGGGGAUACUGAGGCCCUGGUUCAGAGGGCAUUCAGUAGGGUGGAGGUAAUUCCUGAUCUUCCGCUGGGGCGGGGAGAAUGGCUGGCCCAGAAGGGGCUUUCUUUGGGCCGGCUAACGUGACCUGAAGUCUAGCCUGUUUUAUGCAACGUUUCAGCCAUGGUGGGAUUGUUGGACUAAAUCUAACCAUAGGUUAAUGUACAGAAACUGGUCAGGGUGUCCAGGAGUUUCUGUGACCAUUUUCCAUACAGCCUGGGUAAAUUUUUUAGUCUUAGGUCUCAGUGUCAGGCCACCUAAUUCUAAAGGAUGACUAUUCUAGUUUAGAUAAAAAGCAGAGUUCUCCAGGGGUUAAUUUUACACCAUAUUGAACUGAAAACCUAACUUCGAAGUUGGCCAUCGUGCAUUGGAGAGGUGCACAAGGCCGGGAGCUAAUGACCCUAUUGGAUUUUUCUUUCAGUUUUUAAAUUUUUCCCUAAGAGAUUU